GACGUCGAUAUUCGACGUCAUAAACACGAUCAACUUAGGUGUUUAUGACGUCGAUAUUGGACGUCACAAACAGGAUCAACUUAGCUGUUUAUGACGUCGAUAUUCGACGUCAUAAACACGAUUAACGUUGGUGUUUAUGACGUCGAUAUUCGACGUC